rnacentral:tmRNA from 1 species
GGGGGUGUCACGGAUUCGACCUUGUGUCGUAGUGCGAGGCUGCAUGUCGGAGAUAAUGGAGGCUCCGUAUCAAUCCAUUACAAAAAUUAAUUGGCGAAGAACAAUUCGCAAUGGCGGCGUAAAAUCGCCCCACGUUUCUACCCGGACACCUGCUACGGACUAGAAGCGACGACUAGCAGGCAUAGCUGAAACACGGACCUUCGGGUUUCAGCCGUAUUUUAGAAGGUCUGGAAACGGACGAGCCUGUUUUGAGGCGCGUCCGCGACGACAACAAAUUCAAAACUAAGCAUGUAGAUGCCGCGUAUGAAAGCACGAGGGACGCGGGUUCGACUCCCGCCACCUCCACCA